UGCCAUGUCAAGCAAUGCUCGGCGCACUGACCUUUGCCGUAUGUACGGAAUAUCCGUCAUGUCAAAUAACAUCACCGAUUUUUGGUUAGUCCCACUUAUACGUUUGCUCUUAUCCAUCAUAUCUGUACAUGUAGUAUGACAUGCCUUGUUCUAACUUUUAGCGCGACAACUGGAGGCGUCGAUCAAGGGGAGCACCAAUAUGGCGAGGAGAACGAUAAGAGCAACGCGGUAAAUGACAAGGCCAUCAAGAAUGAUGAGGUGGAUAGCGAUGCUGAGACCAUCGAUUAAGAGUUUGAAGC
rnacentral:lncRNA from 1 species